rnacentral:rRNA from 1 species
UACGUAGGGUGCGAGCGUUAAUCGGAAUUACUGGGCGUAAAGCGUGCGCAGGCGGUUUUGUAAGCCAGGUGUGAAAUCCCCGGGCUCAACCUAGGAAUGGCAUUUGGGACUGCAAGGCUGGAGUGCGGCAGAGGAGACUGGAAUUCCUGGUGUAGCAGUGAAAUGCGUAGAUAUCAGGAGGAACACCGGUGGCGAAGGCGGUUCUCUGGGAAUAUCCUGACGCUGAGGAGCGAAAGUGUGGGGAGCGAACAGG